rnacentral:tRNA from 1 species
CGCGGCGGUGGCGCAAGGCAUGCGGCGUGGCCUGUUCUCGAACGAGGCGGGCCUCGGUUCGGCGCCGAACGUGGCGGC